UACAGAGGUCUCAAGCGUUGUUCGGAUUCAUUGGGCGUAAAGGGUGCGUAGGCGGCGCGGUAAGUCGGGUGUGAAAUCUCGGAGCUUAACUCCGAAACUGCAUUCGAUACUGCCGUACUUGAGGACUGGAGAGGAGACUGGAAUUUACGGUGUAGCGGUGAAAUGCGUAGAUAUCGUAAGGAAGACCAGUGGCGAAAGCGGGUCUCUGGACAGUUCCUGACGCUGAGGCACGAAGGUCAGGGGAGCAAACGGG
rnacentral:rRNA from 1 species